CGCUUGGUAAUUGCAGAAGAUUAUCAGCUGUUGUGAAUAUCGCAAGUGUUGGAUCGCAAUUCAUAUAUUGAAUUGAGAAAGCUAAAACGUUUGAAAGAAAAGCCCACAUGUACCAUGGCAUAAUAUAAUAAAAACAGAAAACUCACGUCAUUGAUGAGUAAGGUCAGAAAACAGCUGUUUCAAACAAUUGAGAGGCAAUUUU